rnacentral:rRNA from 1 species
AUGGAGAAGAAGAAGAAGGCGCCGCUGCCAACACCUCAUUUCCACAAAGAGCGGCCUCUUCCUAGAGCAGAGCGGUCCCCCGAUCGACGCUACUCGCCUUACCCUCCUCCGUCCAUGGAUGGUUGCUCUGGAAAGAAUGCUGGAUCUUGGCCCCUUCACCUGACUUACUAUGGGCCUCCAUCUGAAGACCUUCAUGUCGACUGGCGCAAUAAUGACGGGGUUGUGGACAUGGAGCAUUACAGCACAGAGCUGUUUGCAGCGAUGGACAAACAUAGUUUUUGGUCGAUGCACACUUGUACACGCCCACAGUUUGGACCAAACGUCAGCGCUGAGUAUGUGAUUGAUCCUUUGUUGAAGGAUACAUUCCUUGCCAAUCCCCGUUUUAGCUACCUGCUUCCCUUGAUCGGCCACAAAGUAGCUUCUGCAGCUGAGGCUCCCAAUUCAACCACGCAGGUUGGCACAACUACUGGAUACGGGCAGCGUGAUGGUUCUAUAGAAGUCCCUGUCCGCGAAGUUGCUGCUUUGAAGAUUUCUGACAACUAG